rnacentral:lncRNA from 1 species
GUAUGAUUGAUCCUACAUGACUGUGAAUCUUGAUAGUGAACCAAGUUUGAUCAUAGUUUCCAUUUAUGGAUUAUACCGAGUAUGUUAUUGUUAUAAGAUUAGAUAGAUCGUACAUUGUAAGUUUGAAUCUUGAUAGUGAACCAACCACACACCAGUGCUGGUGAAUCCUCUUCCUAAAUCCUAACUAUUUAUAAACAUAUACAACACCAUACUAGUGUAUCUCGUUAGUGGCAUACGGAGAGGAUGGUGUUUAUCCGUCUUCCCUUUACUAUAGAAAGAUAUAAAGAAGUUGUUUCUGAUAGAUACGAGUAAAAUGUUGAAAUUAAAUGUCCCUUCCCACAUCGUUUUAGUGAACAAUUUUAAUGCUCUUAAUAUGUAACUCUCAGGCACAAACAGAGCAAUCCGAUCACAUGUUGACGUGAAUGGGCUAUAACCCGUCCUAUUGGAUGGGCCAGGCCCAGGAAAGUCCCCGGGCCCAUAACCGCAGAGAUGCGGGCUCAGAAAUGAGUUAUGCUUCAUGGGCUGGAAUCCAAAACUCAUAAAUGGGUUUGGGCUGAGACGAGGUGGAGCCUAUGAUUCCGGCCCAGAAGCCCAAUUGGCUAAUAAAACAGUUAUUCACGUGGUCUAGUUAAAAACCUAGAUUAACUGAACGGGGCUUACAGUCAUGUGGUCAUUCUUUUUGUUUUUUUAUUUAGCAUUUGAAUUUAUUGACAAUUAUUUCGAC